rnacentral:rRNA from 1 species
UGGGGAAUAUUGGACAAUGGGCGAAAGCCUGAUCCAGCCAUACCGCGUGUGUGAAGAAGGUCUUCGGAUUGUAAAGCACUUUAAGUUGGGAGGAAGGGCAUUAACCUAAUACGUUAGUGUCUUGACGUUACCGACAGAAUAAGCACCGGCUAACUCUGUGCCAGCAGCCGCGGUAAUACAGAGGGUGCAAGCGUUAAUCGGAAUUACUGGGCGUAAAGCGCGCGUAGGUGGUUUGUUAAGUUGGAUGUGAAAUCCCCGGGCUCAACCUGGGAACUGCAUCCAAAACUGGCAAGCUAGAGUAUGGUAGAGGGUAGUGGAAUUUCCUGUGUAGCGGUGAAAUGCGUAGAUAUAGGAAGGAACACCAGUGGCGAAGGCGACUACCUGGACUGAUACUGACACUGAGGUGCGAAAGCGUGGGGAGCAAACA